GAUGAACGCUGGCGGCGUGCCUAAUACAUGCCAGUCGAGCGAACGGACGAGAAGCUUGCUUUUCUGAUGUUAGCGGCGGACGGGUGAGUAACACGUGGAUAACCUACCUAUAAGACUGGGAUAACUUCGGGAAACCGGAGCUAAUACCGGAUAAUAUUUUGAACCGCAUGGUUCAAAAGUGAAAGACGGUCUUGCUGUCACUUAUAGAUGGAUCCGCGCUGCAUUAGCUAGUUGGUAAGGUAACGGCUUACCAAGGCAACGAUGCAUAGCCGACCUGAGAGGGUGAUCGGCCACACUGGAACUGAGACACGGUCCAGACUCCUACGGGAGGCAGCAGUAGGGAAUCUUCGGCAAUGGGCGAAAGCCUGACGGAGCAACGCCGCGUGAGUGAUGAAGGUCUUCGGAUCGUAAAACUCUGUUAUUAGGGAAGAACAUAUGUGUAAGUAACUGUGCACAUCUUGACGGUACCUAAUCAGAAAGCCACGGCUAACUACGUG
rnacentral:rRNA from 1 species